rnacentral:rRNA from 1 species
AUGGAGCUCUUCCUCUACUCAACGUACGUCCUCCUCCUCGUCUCCUCCCUGUACGUCCUCCGCCACUUCGCCGACGCCCGCCGCAACCUGCCGCCGGGUCCCCCCUCAUGGCCUCUCAUCGGAAACCUCCUCGACCUCGGCACCCUGCCGCACCGCUCCCUCGCGCGCCUCGCCGAGCGCCACGGCCCGCUCAUGACGCUCCGCCUCGGCGCCCUCACCACCGUCGUCGCCUCCUCCGCGGACACCGCCCGCGACGUCCUGCAGCGCCACGACGCCGCCUUCUCCGCGCGCUCCGUGCCCGACGCCGUCCGCGCGUGCGCCUACGACAGCUUCUCCAUGGGCUGGCUCCCGCCGAGCAGCCCCCACUGGCGCGCCCUCCGCAAGCUGUGCUCGGGGGAGCUCUUCGCGCCGCACCGCCUCGACGCGCACCAGUCCAUCCGCCGGGAGAAAGUGCAGCAGCUGGUGUCCCAUGUCGACCGGCUGUCGCGAGAGGGCGCGGCCGUGGACAUCAGCCUCGUCGUGUUCACCACUGCGCUCAACCUGCUCUCCUGCACCAUAUUCUCAGCCGACAUCGCCGACCUCGGCGACAGAGGAGGGUCGGGGCAGUUCAUGGCCGUGAUCUCAGAGUCCCUGCAAGUCGCUGGGCAGCCCAACUUGUCGGACUUCUUCCCUGUGGUCGCGCCUCUCGACCCGCAACGGCUGAGGAAGCGCCUCGCCAUGGGGUUCAAGCAGCUGCAUGCCAUAUUCGACGAGCAGAUCGAGCGGCGCAUGCGGGAGCGCACCGCCGGGCAGCUGCCCAAGAAUGACUUCAUGACGUGCUGCUCGACUACCGCGGAUGGCCGGGGACUCGAUCGGGAAAUGCUGCGCGCAUUACUUAUGGAUUUGUUUAUCGCCGGAAGUGAUACAAGUGCAGCAACCUUUGAGUGGGCAAUGGCUGAGCUGCUACAAAAUCCAUCAUCCGUGGCGAAAGCUCGUGACGAACUCGCACAAGUGAUAGGCUCCAGAUCAGAAAUCGAGGAAUCGGACAUUGGCCAGCUCAAGUACCUCCAGGCCAUCGUGAAAGAGGUGUUUCGCCUCCAUCCUCCUGCUCCGCUCUUGUUACCUCGCCAAGCUGAAGCAACGACGGAGCUACGGGGCUACACUGUGCCCAAGGGCGCACGUGUGAUGGUGAAUGUUUGGGCCAUCGGCAGGGACAGCGAGCUUUGGUCUGAACCAGAGAAGUUCAUGCCGGAGAGGUUUUUGGGGAAAGACAUGGAUUACCGAGGCCGGGACUUUGAGCUCCUUCCGUUUGGUUCUGGCCGACGGAUCUGCCCCGGAAUGCCGCUGGCCGUGCGCAUGGUCCAUUUGAUGCUUGCAACACUGUUGUACCGGUUUGAAUGGAAACUUCCAAAAGAAGUAGAGGAAAAUGGGGUGGACAUGGAGGAGAAGUUCGGGAUAGUGUUAGCAUUGGGCACCCCUCUCCAGGCCAUAGCUGAACCAGUUUAA